AGUGAACGCUGGCGGUAGGCCUAACACAUGCAAGUCGAACGGCAGCACAGUAAGAGCUUGCUCUUACGGGUGGCGAGUGGCGGACGGGUGAGGAAUACAUCGGAAUCUACUUUUUCGUGGGGGAUAACGUAGGGAAACUUACGCUAAUACCGCAUACGACCUACGGGUGAAAGCAGGGGAUCUUCGGACCUUGCGCGAUUGAAUGAGCCGAUGUCGGAUUAGCUAGUUGGCGGGGUAAAGGCCCACCAAGGCGACGAUCCGUAGCUGGUCUGAGAGGAUGAGCAACCACCCUGGAACUGAGACACGGUCCAGACCCCGAGGGGGGGCAGCAUGGGGGAAUAUUGGAAAAGGGGCGCAAGCCUGCUCCAGCCAUACCGGGUGGGUAAAGAAGGCCUUCGGGUUGUAAAGCCCUUUUGUUGGGAAAGAAAAGCAGCAGGUUAAUACCCCGCUGUUCUGACGGUACCCAAAGAAUAAGCACCGGCUAACUUCGU
rnacentral:rRNA from 1 species